rnacentral:tRNA from 1 species
UCGGGGAUCGCCUAAUGGUAGGGCUCUAGUCUUUGGAACUAGCGAUCAGCGAAAGUUGUUGGUGGUUCGAUUCCAUCUCCCCGAUCCA